rnacentral:lncRNA from 1 species
UGGAAGAAGACGCGAAAGAGAGACGAAAGAGAGACGAACGAGAGACAAUGAAACGCGGUGAGAAACCAGACGAGAAAGAAACAGUCGCGUACCUUUGGAAAGACGAGGCCAUGGCCAUUGAGCGAACUGAUCAUGAGAAUUCGGACAUUGUCAACAACAGCGUGGGGAGUGGAGCCUCCUUUCUUGAGCCGAUACGGUAUGCAGCUAGACAGAAAAAAAGAAAAGGAGAUUUCGUUUACGAACUAAAACUCGAAAUUUUGUGCUUCCAGGAGCUCAAAUUCAAUGCUACUCACCCAGCGACGAGCCUGUAGCCCUGCUCAAAUCUCUGCCGCUGUGGCUCGUCGGUGAUUCCCUCCAUUGGCGAUUCAACCGCGAAGAAAUACGAGGAAGGAGAACGCAAAAGCAAAUAUUGGAAACUUGCGACCGAGGUGAGUAAAACUUCUCAACCGGAUUUCUUCAUUGAAUCGAUAGAGAGUUUGUCAAGUUGGAGAGAGGGAGUCGAGAGUGCUGCUGUUCGUUAUCACUCUCGGUCAAAAAUCUCGGAUUUUUGAGACGAAGAGGUCGAUGAGUCUGGAGAUCAUAAACUUGAGCGAAGUUAUCUCCUUCUACGCAAUGACAGAUUUGAGUUAGCCGAAAGAGAAGAUGAGAAAGAGAAGAGGGGACAGGGUAAAAAAGAGGGAUGGAUGAAGAGUCGGUCUCACAGGUUUGGUCUUUUCCUGGGAAAAAGAAGGGAAGGAAAAAGAAAAAAUGGAAAAUCAAUCACUGGCUGAGUCUUUGUUUUAUUUUAUUUUGAUAUUUAUUUUUUCUUUUUCCUUGGCAGAGCACCAUUUGCACAGCCGCGAUGUUCAGCUUGCAGCAACAGCAGCCUUUUAUGAAGAAUGAACAACACAUGUCAGCCGAAAAAAAAGGGGAGAAAUCAACACACCAGCAACGGUGAGAAAGUAAGGAAGAAAAAACGAGAGAGACUUCGCAUGCUUUCUUUUUUUUCGCAGCGAGGACGAUUAGAAGAACUGAUAAGAUCUGGAGAUGAAACUCUCAUCAAAGAUCAACAUCUACACAUUAAAGCUCUUCCAUGUGCUUGGCAUUUGCAUUCGUGCAGUGGGAGCAUUGCUCCAGCCUUGACCAGAUAAGAAAAAAGAAAAAUUUAAAGUUCUAGAGUGUGAUCUUGGCUUGGAACUUGCAAAGUCGACUGAAUUUUUUGCAUGAACAGAUUGAAGUUCUCAAGAUCAAGAAAAUCUUCGCUUCCACAAGUACUAGAAAAAAGAAAGAGAAGAAGAAGGCGAAGAAAGAAAUGCUAGACGCCGCCCGCGAUGGUGUGUGAUAUUUAAAGCCUGCGCGGCUGCUACUUAAAGAAAACGAUUUACAAAGUUUUGUAAAUUCACAGCGAAGUUAUGUGGUAAUGCGGCGGCCGCGAUGAUUGACUGUAUCGUAUAACCUUGGUUUUUCUUGUCCUUU